rnacentral:misc_RNA from 1 species
CAUUCAGUAGCCCAGCUACUUGUUUACACCCUUGUCUUUUUGCGUACUUAUCGUUUCCUCGGCGGGCUUGCCUGCCGGUUGGACAACUUUAUAACCUUUUUAAAUCUUCAAUCAGUGUCUGAAUAAUAUACAAUAAUUA